rnacentral:rRNA from 1 species
UGGGGAAUAUUGGACAAUGGGCGCAAGCCUGAUCCAGCCAUGCCGCGUGUGUGAAGAAGGCCUUUUGGUUGUAAAGCACUUUAAGCGAGGAGGAGGCUACUUGGAUUAAUACUCUAGGAUAGUGGACGUUACUCGCAGAAUAAGCACCGGCUAACUCUGUGCCAGCAGCCGCGGUAAUACAGAGGGUGCGAGCGUUAAUCGGAUUUACUGGGCGCAAAGCGUGCGUAGGCGGCUUCUUAAGUCGGAUGUGAAAUCCCUGAGCUUAACUUAGGAAUUGCAUUCGAUACUGGGAAGCUAGAGUAUGGGAGAGGAUGGUAGAAUUCCAGGUGUAGCGGUGAAAUGCGUAGAGAUCUGGAGGAAUACCGAUGGCGAAGGCAGCCAUCUGGCCUAAUACUGACGCUGAGGUACGAAAGCAUGGGGAGCAAACAGG